rnacentral:rRNA from 1 species
AACGAACGCUGGCGGCAUGCCUAACACAUGCAAGUCGAACGAAGGCUUCGGCCUUAGUGGCGCACGGGUGCGUAACGCGUGGGAAUCUGCCCUUGGGUCUGGGAUAACAGUGAGAAAUUACUGCUAAUACCGGAUGAUAUCGCGAGAUCAAAGAUUUAUCGCCCGAGGAUGAGCCCGCGUUGGAUUAGCUAGUUGGUGGGGUAAAGGCCUACCAAGGCGACGAUCCAUAGCUGGUCUGAGAGGAUGAUCAGCCACACUGGGACUGAGACACGGCCCAGACUCCUACGGGAGGCAGCAGUGGGGAAUAUUGGACAAUGGGCGAAAGCCUGAUCCAGCAAUGCCGCGUGAGUGAUGAAGGCCUUAGGGUUGUAAAGCUCUUUUACCCGGGAAGAUAAUGACUGUACCGGGAGGAUAAGCUCCGGCUAACUCCGUGCCAGCCGCCGCCGUAACAC